rnacentral:rRNA from 1 species
GACGAACGCUGGCGGCGUGCUUAACACAUGCAAGUCGAACGCUGAAGCUUGGUGCUUGCACUGGGUGGAUGAGUGGCGAACGGGUGAGUAAUACGUGAGUAACCUGCCCUUGACUCUGGGAUAAGCCUGGGAAACUGGGUCUAAUACUGGAUACGACAUGUCACCGCAUGGUGGUGUGUGGAAAGGGUUUUACUGGUUUUGGAUGGGCUCACGGCCUAUCAGCUUGUUGGUGGGGUAAUGGCUCACCAAGGCGACGACGGGUAGCCGGCCUGAGAGGGUGACCGGCCACACUGGGACUGAGACACGGCCCAGACUCCUACGGGAGGCAGCAGUGGGGAAUAUUGCACAAUGGGCGAAAGCCUGAUGCAGCGACGCCGCGUGAGGGAUGACGGCCUUCGGGUUGUAAACCUCUUUCAGCACGGAAGAAGCGAAAGUGACGGUACGUGCAGAAGAAGCGCCGGCUAACUACG